UCUUUUUCUUUUGCAUUGAGCUCUUCUUCAUGCUUUUCUUCUUUUCUUUUCUUUUUCUCAUGAAUUUUUCUUUUCACAACAUUUGAGCUCAAUGCUUUUCACUUGCUUUUUCAACUUUCCCCCAACAACCCCAAACUUGAACCUUUUUAUCACAUACAAUUAAGAUCAUCCCAACUCAAGGUAAAGAAUUUCAAAACAAGGGUUCACA
rnacentral:lncRNA from 1 species